AUGGCCGUCGCCUCCGCCUGGGCCAAGCCCGGCUCAUGGGCCCUCGCCGCCGAGGAGCAGGACGACCUCCCCCCGCCGCCGCCCCCCGUCCCAGCCUCCGACUUCCCCGACCUCGCCACCGCCGCCACCACCAAGGUCCCCAAGAAGAAGAAGGUCCAGCCAGUCUCCCUCGCCUCGUUCAACAGCGCCAAGUUCGUCCCCUCCUCCUCCCGUGGUCCCACCCCGGACAUGCUGCUAAGCCUCCCCACCGGCCCCCGCGAGCGCACUGAGGAGGAGCUCGGCGGGGCACGCUGGGGCAACGUGUCUCGCGGCUCCGACGAGCCGCGACGUGGCGGAUCUGGCACGGAGGACUACGGCCCGUCCCGCGCCGACGAAGCGGAUGAUUGGGGUGUGAAGAAGCCGAUGGAGAGGAGGGAGCGGAUGGGAGGGUUUGGUGGUGAUUCGAUUUCGUCGCGUGCUGAUGACGUCAACGACUGGGUGUCCACCAAGAAGACGGCGCCCUCUCUGCCCAUGGAGCGGAGGGAGCGUAGCAGCGCGUUUGGUAGCGAGUCGCAGGGACGCGCUGACGAUUCCACGAGCUGGGUCUCCAACAAGAGCUACUCUGCUCCCCCGCCCGCACCUUCGGAUGGCCGAAGGGGUGGGUCAGUUUGGGGUUUCAAUAGGGAUGGUUGUCCAGAUGCUGAUUCUUGGGCAAGGAAAAGAGAGGAGGUAAGCAGUGGUGGUGGUAGUAGCAGUGCUCGGCCGCGUCUUGUUUUGCAGAAGCGAACUUUACCGGUUGCCGUUGUAACUGACGGGGAGAAGGAUGAGGGUGUAGAGGAAGAUAAACGAGAGUUUCAGCCCAAAAGCUGGUCUUGCAACCCAUUUGGGGCUGCACGCCCACGUGAGGAAGUGCUUGCCGCAAAGGUGGAGAACUUGACGAAGGAGGUGUAUGAACGGGAGGAGAAGCUAGUGAUUCAACCAAAAGUCAGAUCGUGGAAUCCGUAUGGGGCAGCCCGCCCACGGGAGGAAGUGCUUGCUGGGAAGGGGGAAGAUUGGAGGAAAAUUGAUGAGAAGCUUGAGGCCCUGAUGGUGCGUGAAGCACCAACUGAGGUUAGGUCCUCUGGGAGGAGGGGUUCCCCAGUCCAAGGCGAGGAGAACGAGAACGGCGAAGUGCUGGAGAGGAGUACUGACAGAGUGUGGAAGAAACCUGCAGUUGAGGCUGAAGUACUAUCUGAACAAGGAGGCUACAGGAGCUGCGCCUGCAAAUUAAUGUAUGGCCUCACAUGUUAUGAAGACGCUUCACAAUUCGAGUCUACUUAA
rnacentral:rRNA from 1 species